ACAAGAUAUGAUGAUUUGUACCCAUUAAUUCUGCUGUUUAAUGAUGAAUAUUAACAUGCACUACCAUCUGAUCUUUG
rfam:Morus notabilis contig9485, whole genome shotgun sequence.